rnacentral:pre_miRNA from 1 species
UGGGGCAGCUGGUGUUGUGAAUCAGGCCGUUGCCCAUCAGAGAACGGCUACUUCACAACACCAGGGUCACA